GGGCCGCUAGCUCAGUGGUAGAGCACCUGGCUUUUAACCAGGGUGUCGAUGGUUCGAUCCCAUCGCGGCCCA
rnacentral:tRNA from 1 species